GAUGAACGCUGGCGGCGUGCCUAAUACAUGCAAGUCGAGCGAACAGACGAGGAGCUUGCUCCUCUGACGUUAGCGGCGGACGGGUGAGUAACACGUGGAUAACCUACCUAUAAGACUGGGAUAACUUCGGGAAACCGGAGCUAAUACCGGAUAAUAUAUUGAACCGCAUGGUUCAAUAGUGAAAGACGGUUUUGCUGUCCCUUAUAGAUGGAUCCGCGCCGCAUUAGCUAGUUGGUAAGGUAACGGCUUACCAAGGCAACGAUGCGUAGCCGACCUGAGAGGGUGAUCGGCCACACUGGAACUGAGACACGGUCCAGACUCCUACGGGAGGCAGCAGUAGGGAAUCUUGCGCAAUGGGCGAAAGCCUGACGGAGCAACGCCGCGUGAGUGAUGAAGGUCUUCGGAUCGUAAACCUCUGUUAUUAGGGAAGAACACAUGUGUAAGUAACUAUGCACGUCUUGACGGUACCUAAUCAGAAAGCCACGGCUAACUACGUG
rnacentral:rRNA from 1 species